GCGCCCAUAGCUCAACAGGAUAGAGCAACGGCCUUCUAAGCCGUAGGUUUGUGGUUCGAGUCCACAUGGGCGUA
rnacentral:tRNA from 1 species